GGGAAAUGUGCGCGCGAAGACGGCGAGAGUGAAAAGCAGGAGAAGAGGAGGUUUAGAAAGUGAAGAAAUGGUUCUGGUAUUUGUCCCCCACACGCCAGAAGAGACACAUGGAUACCCAUGAAGAGGUGCGGACACGGUACAAGCGAUACUUGCGUACUGAAAUUGCAGACAUGCCAGUUGAAGAUGAAAAGAAGAUUUCAUUGCUGGAUCAGCAGCUGGAUUCACACACAGGCCUUUGCUGUUUGUAUCGUUGUGCGCUGCAUUUGCCUCGAGGUGAAACAAAGUCAGCUGUCUUCCCAUCAUCACUGCUCUGCAGCCAUGAUGGACGACGUGGGAUUACCGUCAAAUGUUCUCCCACGAAGGGCCAACAGUCAAGGCUGGUCACACACACACAUUGCUUCCUUUUUAUAUUGAUGAGUAUCUCUGGAUCUGUGCCCGGCCGCGUGCUUUGACCCCUUGAUCCCAGCGUGCCGUGGAAGACGUCUGCGAGAACCUUGUGAGUUCAUGGUUUCCCUUUUGUCUGCCUGGCACUGAAACAUGCGAUGCACGUGUGAACAGAUUAUACACACGUUCCCUUUACACGCCGGAUUUCAUUGGCGGAAGCUUGCUGAUUUGAAGAACCACUGGAACCAGUUAUAAAGAAUGAAAAUAAAAACACUUGUGUGCAACUUU